UGCGCCGGGACCCCCGGCCCGGGACCGCCCGCCCCGUGGGGAGGCAGCGACCGCCAGCGCUGCCGGUGCUUUGCUGUGAGGCACCGACACACACGGCAAGAAACUGACAGUAUUUUAAAACUUACAGGAUUUGCCGAGUGUCGCGUUCUGUUUGAUUUUGGCAACUGUCUCACGGUGAAUGAAACCUGGUGUCACCAAUUUCCACUCACAAAAUGGAGCUACAGAUUCCUGCAUUCUGAAGACUGAAGAAACAAAGCAGUGAGGAAGCAACCAACAUAAUUCUUAUAAAAAGAGGACUUAGAAAAUGCCCAUUUACAAAAGGAUGUAGAGAUGCUUCACCAGUAUGUCCGCACAGGACCAACCUCUCCACAGUCAGGGACAGUGCCUGAAUGAAGGGACAGUGACAGACUCAGUUUCACUGAAGUGAUGUAUUUUAGUGAGAUCUUGAUCCACCUCUUAUUCUCCGCAAAAGGGUUGGAUUUUCUGAUAUAAAAAUGCCAAUUAAGGAAGAAAAUUUAAAAUAUCAAUUAUUUAUUGCAUUUAUU